CGAAAAGGGUUCUUCAUCUUAGAUGAAAUCUGUGUAAGUUGCCCUGCCCUCCUAAAGAUUUACAUAAUUAUUUCCCUGUAAUACGGCGGAGCUGCGUCUUCGCUUCAGGCCUACAUCCAACUGCACUUAAACUCAAAUUAUGCUGGCCUGGGGCUGGAGGCACCAUUUUCCGGGGGCGAUACACGUUUCGAAUGUCUGACCUGGACCGACCCGUGACCCGUGACCCAAGAACCAGGACCUCGAAACACCCCAUGACCGACCGGCCUCGUCUCUGGCCAGCAGCAUGCACAUGAAGGACUUACAAACGACAGCUGCAAUUUUUCACCUGGCCAGUUUUUAAGAUGAGCAGCAUUCCGGACCCCUAAACGAAGACUAU
rnacentral:lncRNA from 1 species